UACGGAGGGUGCAAGCGUUAUCCGGAUUCACUGGGUUUAAAGGGUGCGUAGGCGGGUUGGUAAGUCAGUGGUGAAAUCCCCGAGCUUAACUUGGGAACUGCCAUUGAUACUAUUAAUCUUGAAUACUGUGGAGGUCAGCGGAAUAUGUCAUGUAGCGGUGAAAUGCUUAGAUAUGACAUAGAACACCAAUUGCGAAGGCAGCUGGCUACACAAAUAUUGACACUGAGGCACGAAAGCGCGGGGAUCAAACAGG
rnacentral:rRNA from 1 species